UCUCAUUUGGCUUUACAAGCUGAGUAGGAGCAUCAAGGCCGGGAUUAUGACCAUCAUUACUCAAAACUAUAGAAAUUUCUCUCUCAGAACUUUUAUUCGACUGCAUUGAGGCGUUUUUAAACUUAAACAAAUUUAAAAAUUUGCAUUUUCCUCUUGACUGGAUUCUACAUUAGCUACCAUAGAAUAAUUACCGCUUUCGUUUUCCUCAUUACCGGCAUCAUAAUUUGACGCAUUACCAGAUUGAUAAUUAUACUCGAGUGCAAUGUCCUGUGAAGAACACGCUUGAGAGGAUAAUUCAUUAAUUACUGCAUCAUGAUCAGUAAUUCUUUUGCUGCUCCUUUUGCAUAAUGAACAAUUGAUCACGAAAGUGAUUAAUCUCUUUAUUUAUUUUACCAAUCUCGUUUUGAUUUGCCGAAAUGCUGUUCGAGAAUCUAGAUUCGAUUAUUACAACAUCUAACUUAACGCCCUCAAGGUCAGCAGAAAGAUCGCAAUACCCAGAGUUAGUGUCUUUUUUGUUUAUCAAACUUUGCCCUGAGUUUGGAAGUGGGUCAGUAGUUGCCGAUUUAUCCAGUAGGUUGUAAAUUUUAUGCGUUAGAUCGAAUAAGCAAUUCAGUCUCUCAGCAAAUUCAGACAUUUCUGCCCUCAAAUUUCCGCAGUUUUUACAUUGAGGGGUUUCAUGAAUUAUAGUCUGAGAAGCAGUCUUUAACUGCUGUUUUUAGUAGUUUGGGAGCGCUCGCAUUAUUGUUGGUACCUUGCGGCUCCGCUGUGUUCACUGAUAAACUGUCUAAGAUAGCAUCUGCUUGUCUUACUAUAUGAUCUGUAUCUAAAACUGUUACCAGAAUUUGUUUGAAUAGCUCACCAUCCUUUCCAUGAAGCAAUAUCGAGUUCUGCUUUCCCGGGUACCAGGUCAAGGUAAAAUCAAACGUUGAACUUUUAAACUGCUUAGCAUUUCCACCAGGUGAUUUCCAAGUGCCGGUCAAACCAAUAACAUUUUCGACAUAAUUAUUUAAUGAAUUAAGGUCACCGGUCCACUUUAUACGACCACCAGUAUAGGUUGGGUUAGCUUCAUUAUUUAAUAGCUUUAUUGCAUUCAUAUCGACGUUCUCUGGUCUGAAAUUUGUAUUAUUGAACGAGUUAAAAAAUCCAUGACCUUCCACCAUUUUGAUUAAUUACACCUCGAUGUUCGUGAUCGAUCUGAAUUCAUGGCCUUCAAAUUCGAAUUACACGCUGCAUUGUCAUUGGUCGGCUUUCAAAACAACAACAGGACAUUUCCGGUAAGAGAGCGAAUUCGUUUGGGGAGUUGUUUCAAUUGGCAUUUUCUGCAGAAAGAUUAUUGUCCAAUUCUGUU